UAUUUUCCUGAACCCCUCUCACAACUCCUCAUCUCAUGCCUAUCUUCCCGAACCCCUCUCACGCCCUCUCCUUCCAACUCCUCCUCUCAUGUCCUCUCCAUCCAACUCCUCUCCAGCAAACCCCUCUCCGGCGAACUCCUCUCCGCGAACCUCCUCUCCUCUGAAUUCCUUCACCUCUUCAUCAAAUAGCAAAUGCCCUAAUCACUCUGCUCUUGGAUCGCCGCCUCCGCACUAGAUCUACUCGCCGGUGGUUUCCUCUGCAGAAAUGGCAAAUGUUUGGAUUUCAAGAGCAUCAAAGUAUCGGAGUUCAGUUUGGAAGGUUAGCGACAAACGGCCAGGUUAUAAUGCCAGUGACUCAGAUUCUGAUGAGGAGAAGAUUAACAUCAAAUCAUCAGCAGAAGGACCUGGUUCAUAAGAAACAAGCUAGAUCAUCGCAGAAGUUAACUACCAAACUCUACAGUUCUUUGGAAGACCCCAACACAAAUAAUUUGGAGGAUGAUCUACCCGUAGAUAAUGCUUCAAAGCAAUUGGUGCUUCAUAUUGAGGCUUCUAGUACACAUUAGAUACAAGUGAGAAGUAGUAAAGGUUCCUCGACAACAAGAUGUCAAACAAUGUGGUUAUUAUGUGAUGCGAUUUAUGAGACAAAUUGUUGAAGAAGUUGAAAUUAUCGAGAGAGAUUCACUACGAUCUAUAUUUACAGAAGCGGAGUAUUCUCGAGAAGAAAUUGAUGAGGUGCGAUCGGAGUUGGUAGAAUGUAUACAAGAUCAUAUUUAUGAGUAGGUCAAACAAAAUAUGACUGACAGAACUCAUCAACUUCUAGAUGCUCGAUCAAAGGGCAGGUAAUAUCCAAGAGUCGGCUUUAAUAUCUUGUAGAAAAGACCAUGUUUACUGUUUCAAAAAUGGUUUUUUGCUACCUUCAUGUUGACAUGUUGAAUUUUUAAAUCCUUUCUUUGCACUCUAGAAUCAAAGCCAUAUUUUAUAUGUAUAGUUUAGUACAUCGGAAAACUACAUUUGCUACUGAAAAAUUUCAAGUCAAAUUGUGUUUGAUAAAGCUACAAGUUCUGCAAACCAAAGAAAUCAGAACAUAUGCUGAUUUCGACUUUAGUUCAUAUGUAAGAACUCAAAUGAAAUAUAUGCUGUUCUUUUUGCACUGCAUCUCUAAUUAUGUAUUCAGGUCUCAUAGUGGUUUCCCUAGCAUCUCCAAUUAUGCUAUUCUUUUUGCUAUAUUUCCAUGGCGGAAACAAAGUAGCACAUGUAUUUUUUGUUUGCUCUAUUCCCCGUUAUUUUAUGCUUAAUUCUUUUUCUCUUAAAAAUUAUUGUAUGGUGUGAACUGUGACCUUUAUUUUCAGCUACUAUCACCGAAAAUUUCUUUUGCAUAAUACUGAUGGUAUUGUUUUCUG